UGCUUGGGAUGUGAAAAAUAAAAAAAGGAAGAGUAGAGAUAAGAUGAUGGUUUAGUGGCAUGGAAGAAAAGAGUGGUGUGAAAGGUUUAAGAUGUGGUGGGGGUUUGCAGAAUGGGGAGCGUAAGGGCGUGUGGGUACUCUCCAAUAGUUGUUGUUCGGGCGUCGCGUCAUCAUCGCGUGGGCGGUAAGAAUGGUUUAUUAAGUUUGCAGCCUCAGGGGGCUCGUGGGCACUCUAUUUCAUGGGUUGUUAGAGCCGGAAAGGGUCCUCCAUUAUUGCCCCCGAAGAAGGAAGUAGUAGAAGGCGGAGGCAUAAUUUCCGCCUGUUUUGUUGGUCUGCUCACGGGUCUCUCUGUCGUCAUCUUUAACAACGUGGUGCAUGAAAUUCGUGAUCUUUGCUGGGAUGGACUUCCGUCUCGAGGAGGGUUGAGAGAGUUGGCGCUUGAGAAUAAAUGGGAGCGCAUAAUCUUGAUACCAACCUGUGGUGGAUUGGUUGUUAGCCUGUUGAACGUUUUUCGUAGUGCUUUGGAAGAUGGGAAUUCAGGCUUAAAAGCUCUUCUCAAGGCGGUAGCUGCUGCUGUCACACUUGGAACUGGGAAUUCUCUUGGUCCUGAAGGUCCGAGUGUUGACAUUGGUACAUCAGUCGCUAAGGGAGUUGCUUCAUUGUUUGACAAAGAUGCUCAAAGAGAACUUUCUCUUAAAGCUGCAGGCUCAGCUGCUGGAAUUUCAUCAGGUUUCAAUGCUGCUGUUGCAGGGUGUUUUUUUGCUGUCGAGUCGGUUUUGUGGCCAUCACCUGCUGCUGCUGAGUCAUCCUUAUCACUCACAAAUACAACAUCAACAGUCAUUCUUAGUGCUGUGAUAGCCUCUGUUGUGUCAGAAAUUGGUCUUGGAUCUGAGCCUGCAUUUACAAUUCCAAACUAUGAUUUCCGUUCACCAACUGAACUUCCACUGUAUCUUUUGCUGGGCAUCUUUUGCGGGGUGGUUUCUUUGAGCUUAUCUUGGUGUACAUCGUGGAUGAUAGUGGCUACUGACAAGAUUCAGAAGACACUUGGGAUGCCAAAGGCAGUUUUUCCUGUAGUGGGUGGUUUUAGUGUUGGAGUGAUAGCCUUGAUAUAUCCUGAAGUUCUUUACUGGGGUUUUGAGAAUGUGGACACCCUCUUAGAGACACGGGCAUUUGUGAAAGGCCUGGAUGUAGAUCUAUUGUUGCAGCUAAUAGCAGUCAAAGUAGUGGCAACAUCCUUGUGUCGUGCAUCUGGAUUAGUAGGAGGCUACUAUGCUCCGUCGCUUUUUAUUGGGGCGGCUACAGGAAUGGCGUAUGGAAAAUUAUUAUCUUCUCUCAUUUCUCACCUCAAUCCAAUCUUUCAUCUCUCAGGCAUUCUGGAUGUUGCAUCACCACAAGCAUAUGCUCUGGUUGGCAUGGCUGCUACUCUUGCUGGGGUUUGUGAGGUGCCUCUUACUGCGGUUUUACUUUUAUUUGAGCUUACACAGGACUACCGCAUAGUGCUACCACUUCUAGGUGCUGUGGGGGUGUCUUCCUGGAUCACAUCUUGGUCCGUUAAGAGUAAAGAUAAUUCACCCAAACCUGACACUGACCACCUAAGCAUGCAUAACUUUGAUCAAUGCAUCACAAAGAAGCUUCUGGUCUCACAGGCCAUGAAAACCCAGUAUGUGACUGUGCUCAUGAACACUCUGCUAACACAAGUAGUGACUCUAAUGCUAGCAGAGAAGCAAUCUUGCGCUAUCAUAGUUGAUGAUCAUAACCUAUUCAUAGGUUUACUCACUCUAGGAGACAUACAAGAAUUUUGCAAAUUAUCAAAAGAAACAAACAAAAUUCCUGAGGAAAUGCUCGGCCAACAACUAAUCAAGAAUUCAGCUUUGGAGUUUGGAUCUCUACAGUGGAUCUGGAAAGGUGUUUUCAGCUACUACGUGUUCAUCUUCAACUAGCCGAAGAUAUAAUAGGAUUUGACGCAGACUGACCACAAGGCUGUUCAUUAGUCAUCUAUCGAAUGCCCCAUACCAUAUAGAAAUCAGAUUUUACUAUUUUGAUAAUAGAAUUUAGUACACCCAUGUCGAUACAUAUACAAGAACUCAAGGUGUCUCAAGUAUGCUCUAUAAAUGAUUUUUGUGAGACUGCAACACUAACACCCAUGAUGAAUUUACACUCUGCAGAGCUGAUUAUGAAUACACAUGGUGCAAACCAGCUCCCAGUUAUUUCAGAGGACCUCCCUGUUGGUAUUUUAGACAGAGAAUGCAUCAAUAUAGCUUGCAGGGCUUUGGCAACAACAGAAUACCUUUCCACACUCACAAAUUGAUUACAUUGUGUUUCCUUUUCUUCUUACACUGCUCAUAAAAACACCCUCUUGUGGUGAAUGUAAAUAUUCUCACCUGAGUGUGAGAAUUUUGCACCUUAUCAAUUGGUCUCAAGGGGGAGCAUCGUGGGGCUUAAUAAUCAUAUUAGGUCAUUUCGAUUGUGUUGUAAUGAACUGUAUUCGACUUCCGUGUCAAAGUUUUUCUUUUAAUUU